rnacentral:lncRNA from 1 species
UCACUAAUCCACAAAAUCCAAAACAUCAAGCAUAUAACAUCAUUAUAGACUUGAAAUCACAAUUAGAAUCAUGCAUCACAAUUACAACAUAGGAUUAUGAGAUCUUCAUGUUUUUACUCAUAAAACGCAUAGCAAUUCAAAUGCCUAGUAAUCAUCUAGCACAUGUUAUAAACAAACAUAUAACAAACACAUACCAGGACACAUUAAUAUCCUACUCUUCUCACCAUUUGGAAAAUUAAUUUUCACUCACCCAAAAGAAAAUAACUCUAUAUUUUCACCAACAUCUUCAAGAAAUAAUAUUAGUUUUUAAAAUUAUUU